UUGUUGACUCUGAAUAACAAUCAGAAUCACACGGUCAAACUGUCGAAGUCCCAAAACGAAAUGUGCACGAUUCACCCGAUCACCUUUAUUAGUCUACGAAGUGGAUCACCAUGGGGAGACAAUAAGGGUUCGACUCCGGAGAGGGAGCCUUAGAAACGGCCACCACAUCGCCUGAAAGAUGCAAGCCAGGAACUUAGCCCGUACCAAGAGCGAGACUUAUUCGGGGAAGAAAAAGACCGGUCCUCUGGAUUGGUUACUUCACUGAGUUGAGUGAUAAAAGCUCUUUGAAUAACAAGUGGUUGGCAAGUCAGGUGUCAACGGCCGCGGUGGUUCCAGCUCCCCUAGUGUACCCCGUUAUUGCUGCGGAUAAAAAACUCGUAGUUGUAUUUGAGUUCCUAGUUGAAUUUACGCUCUGCGUUCUACGUCGCCCUAGGCUACUUUGUUGGUUUUGCACUGUCGGAUUCGAACCCGUGGUGGCUAGCGUGGUCACUUAGUGUAACUCACAGUGUUCUUUACAAGCUUUUGCGUGAAUGGUCUAUCAAUUAAAAUAGACUAAGACUUCGGAUCUGGUUAUUGGAUUCUGAAUCAAUGUGAUGAUUCUUCGGAGUAACGGGGGGAUACAUAUUGAUGCUUGAGAGGUAAAUUCGUGGAC
rnacentral:rRNA from 1 species